UAUCAGGCUGGAUGUAUAAAAGCACUGUAUGCUGCUAAAAAAUUGUAUACUGUUGUAAAAGCCCAACUUCUAAGCAUCGUCAUGAGAGUCUUCUUGAUUUUGUUCCUAAUCGCUAUGGCCUUAGACGAGAUUAAAUUGGAUAAAAAGGUAAAAAUAAAAAUAAAGAGCUAAAAUCAACUCUGGCCUUUAGACCGUAUACCUCAUUUUGCGGUUGAUGAAAGUGGUGGUACAUGCGGACUGCAGCCGUAAGUGAGCAAAUUUGCCACCAGUCUUAAUAAUUAUCAAUGACAAUUGCUCUUAUUGAGGCAUGGUUGUAAUACAUACAAUAUCGCAUGUAUUUAAAUAUCUAAAUAUCUGGUGGGCAUGGGAGGUGUAAAUGAAAUACAUCUAAAUACGACUCUGAUCUUUAGACUCUAUUUAUUUUACACCGACCAAAAUUUGCACAUAUUUAGAUAAGGAGCUCGUUUGCAUGGGAAAAUCAUUAAAAAUCGGAUCCAAGUGAUAAUACCCUCUGCAAGGAACGUGUCUGGUUACACAACUUGAAACUAAUAAAAUGGCAUGCAAAAUUAUAAAUGUUGCGCCUAUCAGUCUGGAUGUAUAAAAGAAUUUUAUGUUGCUAACAAAUAUUCAAACUGUUGUAUUAUCCGAACUGCUGAGCAUCGUCAUGAGGGUCAUCUUGAUUCUUUCCCUAAUCGAUUCUUAAGUCCAAUUUGUACCCGUGAGUACAGUCCUGUUUGUGCGACGGAUGAAAAGGGUGAGAAACAUUUAUUUGGUAAUAGUUGCUUUUUCAAAAGUGCUAACUGCAGGCGUAAGGAAUCAGGGUUGCCACCUUUGAAACGUGAAAUUUUCGGUUGCCCUCCCGGAAAAAGACAAUAAUGUUAUAAAUAUCUGUGGGGAUAUGGGUGUUGUAAAAUGAAAUAUAUCUAAAUACGACUCUGAUCUUUGGAAGCUAUUUAAUUUACACCGACCAAAAUUUUCACACAUUUAACAAAGGAGCUCGUUUGCAUGGGAAAAUCAUUAAACAUCGGAUCGAAGUUAUAAAACCCUCUGCAAGGGGCGUGUCUGGUUACAUAAACUGAAUUUAAGAUAAUAGCAUGAAAAAUUAUAAAUGUUGCGCCUAUCAGGCUGGAUGUAUAAAAGCAAUGCAUGUUGCUAAAAAAUAUUGAAGUUGUUGUAUUAUCCCAACUGUUGAGAAUCGUCAUGAGGGCUCUCUUGAUUCUUUCCUUAAUCGCGUUGUCCACGUCAACUCUUAUUAAAAGUUGCUUAUCUCCAAAGUGUACCCUUGAGUACAGUCCUGUUUGUGCGACGGAUGAAAACGGUGAGGAACAUGUGUAUGGUAACAGAUGCGCUUUCAAAACUGCUAAAUGCUUGCGUAAGGAAUCAGGGUUGCCACGUAAGACUAACAAAGAACAGUUUGUAGAAACGAUUUAAAUCAAUCUCAUUUUACAGCUUUGAAACGUAAUAUUUUCGGUUGCCCUUCCGGAAAAAGGUUAUAAUGUUAUAAAUAUCUGUGGGGAAAUGGGAGUUGUAAAUAUAUCUAAAUACGACUCUGAUCUUUAGACUCUAUUUAUUUUACACCUUCCACAGUUUGCACAUAUUUAGAUAAGGAGCUCGUUUGCAUGGGAAAAUCAUUAAACAUCGGAUCGAAGUGAUAAUGCCCUCUGCAUGAGGCGUGUCAGGUUACACAACCUGAAUCUAAUAUAAUAGCAUGCAAAAUUAUAAAUGUUGCGCCUAUCAGGCUGGAUGUAUAAAAGCACUGUAUGUUGCUAAAAAAUAUUCAAGUUGUUGUAUUAUCCCAUCUGUUCAGAAUCGUCAUGAGGGCCUUCUUAAUUCUUUCCCUAAUCGCUUUGUCCACAUCAAUCGAUACAAGAAGUUGCCUUAGUCCAAGGUGUACUUCUGAGUUUAGUCCUGUUUGUGCCGUGGAUGGAUGGCGUGUGGAACAUCCCUUUUGGAACCGUUGCUAUUUCGAAAAUGAUGAUUGCAGGCGUAAGGAAGCAGGGCUGCCACCUUGGAAAAUGAUUGCUGGGAAAUGCCAGAAUCCCAGAAGAAUAGUGAAAAAUUAGAAGCGUUUUUCUAAACGAAAAUCACCGAAAACUUUGGGUGGCUGUAAUUUAAUUAUCUAUUUGGUGGGGCGAAAAUUAAUGCGAUCGAUCUCUUUCAAUAUUAACGAACGACUAUAUAUUUUCUUCACAAUUCAAUCUCUUAUUAUAGCUAACCUACGGUGGCAAAGCGGGGAGAAUUCUCCAAGAGCGAGAGAGCGAGCUUUUAUUGCGCUCCCGCUUUGCCCUAGCCUAACUUUCACUAGACUUCAUAAUUACGAUCAAAUAAAACAAUUCAUCGCCGCCAUAGAUGGAAAGUCACGCAAAAAA